rnacentral:rRNA from 1 species
UUCCGGUUGAUCCCGCCAGACCUGACUGCUAUCGGAUUGAUACUAAGCCAUGCGAGUCGUUGUAGCAAUACAAGGCAUACGGCUCAGUAACGCGUAGUCAACCUAACCUAUGGACGGGAAUAACCUCGGGAAACUGAGAAUAAUGCCCGAUAGAACAUUAUGCCUGGAAUGGUUUAUGUUCCAAAUGAUUUAUCGCCAUAGGAUGGGACUGCGGCCUAUCAGUUUGUUGGUGAGGUAAUGGCCCACCAAGACUAUUACAGGUACGGGCUCUGAGAGGAGUAGCCCGGAGAUGGGUACUGAGACACGGACCCAGGCCCUAUGGGGCGCAGCAGGCGAGAAAACUUUGCAAUGUGCGAAAGCACGACAAGGUUAAUCCGAGUGAUUUCUGCUAAAGAGAUCUUUUGUUAGUCCUAGAAACACUAACGAAUAAGGGGUGGGCAAGUUCUGGUGUCAGCCGCCGCGGUAAAACCAGCACCUCAAGUGGUCAGGAUGAUUAUUGGGCCUAAAGCAUCCGUAGCCGGCUCUGUAGGUUUUCGGUUAAAUCUGUACGCUCAACGUACAGGCUGCCGGGAAUACUGCAGAACUAGGGAGUGGGAGAGGUAGACGGUACUCGGUAGGAAGUGGUAAAAUGCUUUGAUCUAUCGAUGACCACCUGUGGCGAAGGCGGUCUACCAGAACACGUCCGACGGUGAGGGAUGAAAGCUGGGGGAGCAAACCGGAUUAGAUACCCGGGUAGUCCCAGCUGUAAACUAUGCAAACUCAGUGAUGCAUUGGCUUGUGGCCAAUGCAGUGCUGCAGGGAAGCCGCUAAGUUUGCCGCCUGGGAAGUACGUACGCAAGUAUGAAACUUAAAGGAAUUGGCGGGGGAGCACCACAAGGGGUGAAGCCUGCGGUUCAAUUGG